rnacentral:rRNA from 1 species
AUUGAACGCUGGCGGUAGGCCUAACACAUGCAAGUCGAGCGGAUGAAGGGAGCUUGCUCCUGGAUUCAGCGGCGGACGGGUGAGUAAUGCCUAGGAAUCUGCCUGGUAGUGGGGGAUAACGUCCGGAAACGGGCGCUAAUACCGCAUACGUCCUGAGGGAGAAAGUGGGGGAUCUUCGGACCUCACGCUAUCAGAUGAGCCUAGGUCGGAUUAGCUAGUUGGUGGGGUAAAGGCCUACCAAGGCGACGAUCCGUAACUGGUCUGAGAGGAUGAUCAGUCACACUGGAACUGAGACACGGUCCAGACUCCUACGGGAGGCAGCAGUGGGGAAUAUUGGACAAUGGGCGAAAGCCUGAUCCAGCCAUGCCGCGUGUGUGAAGAAGGUCUUCGGAUUGUAAAGCACUUUAAGUUGGGAGGAAGGGCAGUAAGUUAAUACCUUGCUGUUGUGACGUUACCAACAGAAUAAGCACCGGCUAACUUCGUG